rnacentral:misc_RNA from 1 species
AGCUUGUAUUGCAUAUGGAUGCACAAAUAGAUUCUCGAAAAAAAUUCCGGGCAUUAUUUUUCACACGAGAGAAACCUCUUUUGAAUGAGUUAUGUGGCAGUACUUUUGGAUUGAAAGGUGUUUGAAACCAGCAUAUGUUUAUUCACACAGAGAGAAGUAUGACAUCAUAUAUCAGUGUUGUAAAAAAAAGUAUGUUUUCAUGAAAGCAUUUCUUUCUUUAAAUAAAUUGGAUUAUAACGCAGA